rfam:Ictidomys tridecemlineatus contig077698, whole genome shotgun sequence.
GGGGAUGUAGCUCAAUGAUAGAGUUUGUGCUUAGCAUGCUCAAGGUCCUAUGUUCAAUCCACAGCAACACCA